rnacentral:rRNA from 1 species
GAUGAACGCUGGCGGCGUGCCUAAUACAUGCAAGUCGAGCGAACAGACGAGGAGCUUGCUCCUUUGACGUUAGCGGCGGACGGGUGAGUAACACGUGGGUAACCUACCUAUAAGACUGGGAUAACUUCGGGAAACCGGAGCUAAUACCGGAUAAUAUUUCGAACCGCAUGGUUCGAUAGUGAAAGAUGGCUCUGCUAUCACGUAUAGAUGGACCUGCGCCGUAUUAGCUAGUUGGUAAGGUAACGGCUUACCAAGGCAACGAUACGUAGCCGACCUGAGAGGGUGAUCGGCCACACUGGAACUGAGACACGGUCCAGACUCCUACGGGAGGCAGCAGUAGGGAAUCUUCCGCAAUGGGCGAAAGCCUGACGGAGCAACGCCGCGUGAGUGAUGAAGGUCUUCGGAUCGUAAAACUCUGUUAUUAGGGAAGAACAAACGUGUAAGUAACUGUGCACGUCUUGACGGUACCUAAUCAGAAAGCCACGGCUAACUACGUG